rnacentral:rRNA from 1 species
AUUGAACGCUGGCGGCAUGCCUUACACAUGCAAGUCGAACUGUAACAGGGAGCUUGCUCCGCUGACGAGUGGCGAACGGGUGAGUACUGCAUCGGAACGUACCCGGUAGUGGGGGAUAACGCAGCGAAAGCUGUGCUAAUACCGCAUACGCACUGAGGUGGAAAGCAGGGGACCUUCGGGCCUUGUGCUAUUGGAGCGGCCGAUGUCAGAUUAGCUCGUUGGUGGGGUAAAAGCUCAACAAGGCGACGAUCUGUAGCUGGUCUGAGAGGAUGAGCAGCCAUGCUGGGACUGAGACACGGCCCAGACUCCGACGGGAGGCAGCAGUGGGGAAGUUUGGACAAGGGGGGCAAACCGGAUCCAGCCAUGCCGCGUGAGUGAAGAAGGCCUUCGGGUUGUAAAGCUCUUUCGGCCUGGAAGAAAUCGCCAUCUCUAAUAUAGGUGGUUGAUGACGGUACCGGAAUAAGAAGCACCGGCUAACUACGUGCCAGCCGCCGCGGUAAUAC